UCCUCGCAGGAUGCUUGCCGGCUCUCCCCUUCCACCUCGGCUGCAUGCUUACCAGGCAGCUCGCGCUGCUCUCGCUCUAAUCGCACAUCUGCUUCUCUCAACGCUCUCUCCGAUUUCUCUCUCUCCCUUGUACAAGUGCACACACACACACACACAUAUACACACAACCUGCUGGACUGGAUUUCUACUAAGCUUUAUGUAGCCGGCAUUGCUGAGUCGAGAGGGAACGGAGGAUAGAAGCAGGGCUGGAGGACGUCGCUUAGAGAGGUAGAUUCACCACAAAGAUGUUUUUCUUAGUCGCUCCAACAGACAGGAAUCUACUGGCAAGAAGAAAGCCUCGGUCUUCCCCAGGAGAGAGGAGUACAAAGCCCCUAGUCUGCACACAGCAGAUGCGGAAAGCCAGUCCAUCUGCCACCAGCUCGCCGUGCCACAUGGGCCUGAGAGAUUUAAUACAAGAGGGGGACUUUUUUUCAUCUGCAACCACAAGUUUAUACAAUAAAUGUUGUGUAAAAAACAAACACACAGCUAAAUUUGGAAGAGGUGCAAUUCCAAAAUUAAAUUCACAAUUAUACACUAAAAAUACACAUGUACAAGAUACUCACGGCAGAAGGUUACACUGUUUGUAAAAACUUUUAUGUUUUUAAAGAGGGGUACUUGGGGCAACUAUGACAGAUUUAUUUAGGAAGAGAUGCAGCCUCUAACGCAGGGUAAAACCCACUUGAACUCACAGCUCGGAGCAGUGCACUGGCAUGAUUUAACACCCACUGAAUAGCACAUUAUCUCCCUAGCUCCGCUGGAGCAUAUUUCAGCUGCAUGAUAUCAUUAUUAAGAGACCAACACAGACCAAAAGAUGUAGCAUUUUCAUUAGUGUCAACUCUCUGAGCUCUGAGGCACAGAGGGUAAACACUAAACAACCAUGACAGAGUGAGGCAGACAGUGAGAGUAGGAUCAAGCAAAAGAGAGAGAGGGAAAUGACAUGAGUGCAAAACCAGAAGA